rnacentral:rRNA from 1 species
ACAGCAGCCGCCGCGGUAAUACGUAGGGUCCGAGCGUUGUCCGGAAUUACUGGGCGUAAAGAGCUCGUAGGUGGUUUGUCGCGUUGUUCGUGAAAACUCACAGCUCAACUGUGGGCGUGCGGGCGAUACGGGCAGACUGGAGUACUGCAGGGGAGACUGGAAUUCCUGGUGUAGCGGUGGAAUGCGCAGAUAUCAGGAGGAACACCGGUGGCGAAGGCGGCUUACUGGCUCGAAACUGACGCUGAGGCGCGAAAGCGUGGGGAGCAAACAGGAUUAGAUACCCCCGUAGUCCCUGUCUCUUAUAC